UGGGGAACAUUGGGCAAUGGGCGAAAGCCUUACCCAGCAACGCCGCGUGAGGGAAGAAGGUUUUCGGAUUGUAAACCUCUGUCCUGGGGGACGAAGGAAGUGACGGUACCCCGGGAGGAAGCCCCGGCUAACUACGUGCCAGCAGCCGCGGUAAUACGUAGGGGGCGAGCGUUGUCCGGAAUUAUUGGGCGUAAAGGGCGCGUAGACGGCCGAGUAAGUUAUAGGCGAAAGCCCAUCUUUCAAGGAUGGAAUUGCCUGUAAUACUGCCUGGCUUGAGUGCAGGAGAGGGAAGCGGAAUUCCUAGUGUAGCGGUGAAAUGCGUAGAUAUUCGGAGGAACACCGGUGGCGAAGGCGGCCAACUGGGCUUUAACUGACGCUGAGGCUCGAAAGUGUGGGAGCAAACAGGAUUAGAUACC
rnacentral:rRNA from 1 species